CACGUAGGGGGCAAGCGUUGUCCGGAUUUAUUGGGCGUAAAGCGCUCGUAGGCGGCUCAGUAAGUCGGGUGUGAAAUCUCUGGGCUCAACCCAGAGAAGCCGCCCGAUACUGCUGUGGCUAGAGUCCGGUAGGGGAGCGUGGAAUUCCCGGUGUAGCGGUGAAAUGCGCAGAUAUCGGGAGGAACACCAGCGGCGAAGGCGGCGCUCUGGGCCGGAACUGACGCUGAGGAGCGAAAGCGUGGGGAGCAAACAGG
rnacentral:rRNA from 1 species